rnacentral:rRNA from 1 species
AUGUUGACAUCUGUGGUGGCGUCUCCCCCUUACCGAUCGUGCCGGCACCUCUGCUGCUCGUCGAAGAUGAAACAGCCAGCGGCAGCCCUAGCUCAAGCAGCACCGAUUCCAGCGACAGCGAUUCAGAUACUGAUUCCGACAGCAGUGACUCGGGUUCAGAGCACUCCGCUCGCCCGUGCUCUGGAAAGGCAGCGAAAGGAGGCCACGUCCCGGGCGAGGGAGAAGGCCCGUCAGGAGGUGCUCCAGACGGAGAGGAUGGCAAUGCCCGAUGAUACCCUACACCCAGAGGACCUCAAGACGCUGGGCAUUGAUGAGUACAACACGGCGAGGCCCAACAACUUGUUGCGGCAGAUUGGACUCUACCUCAAGCUUGACGACGACCGGAAGCAUCAUCAUCAUCAUCAAAUCUUCGAAGAAGACCUAGAGGAAGGGGAGAUUAGAUCGUGA